CUCAAGCUUUCCUUUCACAAAGAGAGAUCCUACACCGUAAACAUCGUUGAAGCGUUCCUAAACGCGUGCUGUAGCAAAAGACAGCGACCCCAGGGUCGUCUUCUCCUCCAUGCGCUGAAAAGUUAGAAGGGAGUCGCUCCAUCAAGAACAAUGAUCGAGACACGACCCCAAACCGUGUGGUUGGGGUUGUCUUCCUCGCCAGUUGCUCGUACAAUAGAGAAGAUAAAAGCACCUGCAAAAUCGUCCUCACAACAGCGCCUAGUCAUCGUUGCUGGUCUUUGAAGGCGAGAGAUGAUGCCACUUCGAGCUUCAAGGGCGAGAAACUCAUCCGAAUCGUUCGCAUCACUUUUUGCUUUUGAUCUUGCCAAAAAUGGUGACUUCAUGGUACAAGAACCACUUUCUCUCGAUCUGGGAACGAGGAUUUGAAUUUCGAAAUUAAGGUGAAUCUUGAUUUUGCUCCCAAUUUCUCUUCAGAAAUUACACUUUGUCCUCGCUCUUUCCACCUAAAGUGUAGCCCUAAUUCUUUUGCUAUAUAAGAUCUCUUCAUGAUGGCUUCAGGGGGAGGGGUUUUUCUUUAAAAAAAAGGGAGAGAAUUUGGUCGGAAAAAAAGGGUUGGGGAUUUUAGUUGGAAAUCCUUAGAGCAAAUACCUAGAGCAUUUUACGCAAAGAUAGUAUAAUACAUACUGAAUAUAUAUAAAAGAAUCAGAAGGGAACUGAUUUUGUUUGAGUUUGAUAGUCUAUUUGGAUUUCUUGAUCGCUGCUCGAGUCAGAAUUUUGUUGUGGUUGUUGAAGGCGAUUUCUCAGCUCGUUGUCCCUGUUUCGCUGCCCACAAGAAGGUGGUCAGAUAUCUAAAGCAACAACCUGAACAAGGUUUUCUGUUAUCAAGUAACUCAAAUGAUCUAGUAACUGCAUAUUGUGAUGCUGAUUGGACUUCAUGCUCAAUAACUAGAAAGUCUAUCACAGAGUAUAUGGUGAAGAUUGGCAAAUCAUAAGUAUGUUGGAAGUCUUAGAAACAAACUAUUGUAUCUAGAAGCUCAGUUGAAGCUGAGUACAGAAGCAUGACUGCAACUGUUUCAGAACUAAUAUGGUUAUGGCUUGAUGAAAGAAAUAGGUAUCAAUGUUCAGUUUCCAGCAAAAAUAUAUAGUGACAGCAAGAUUGCUAUUCAAAUAGCAGCAAAUCCAGUCUAUCAUGAAAGAACAAACCAUAUUGAAAUUGAUUGUCACUUUAUAAGAGAGAAGUUACAACAAGGUUUGAUCAAAGUGGAUUAUGUUCAUACCAAGGAACAACCUUCUGAUGCUUAUACUAAGGGUUUGUCCAAUUACAACACAAUCAUCUUCUAUCCAAGCUUGUAGUGUUAAACAUUUUUUCCCCUCCCAUCUUGAAGGGGAGUGUUGAAGUAUGAAGAUGAUAUGUUCAAGUAGAAAUUAGUUAAGGUAGUUAGAAGUCUAUUAAAGAAUAAGAAAGGUAAUAUAGUCAUUUACAUGUUAGUUAGUUACAACUACCUAAUCCUAUAGUUAGUUUACAGAAUAUUCUAGAUGAGAGUUGUAUCAAUAUAUAUAGCUUCAUCAUCUAUGUAUGGUUUAACAGUUUUGUAUGAGAAUGAAUCUGGACAUUUUUUCCUCUACUCUUCUUCCUUUCUUCUUCUUCUUCUUCUUCUAAGUAAAGUCAGUUUACCAACAAACUUGUUAUGGUAAAUCUAGCUGUUGUUGAAUAUGAUUUGGAAUUAUUAGUUGGUGUUCUUCAAAUGUAUGGCCAAAAAUCUGUUUAUGUCUUGUCGUGGGAAGAAAAUGACUCACUUGGCGUUACAGAUUAUUUAUUGUUCACUGUUUUGGCUUUGCAAAAAAAAAUGAUCGUCUGUGAAUGUUAUCAUCUUCUUUUAUUUCUAGGUAUAGGUUUGUUUUGGUGUUGUUUAAUGGUCAAAAACCUAAAACUUUGGUCAUCAUUGAUGUUAACCUUCACCCUUGUAUUCGUCUUGUGAUAGAAUAUUUUCUUUUGUGGUUCUUUAUAGUGUCAUGCGGAUGCUAUUUUUAUUUGGAUAAAAUUAAUAAUGUGUUCUUAGCAUAUCUCCAUGUGUUAUGUGAGUGGGUCAUUAUUUAUAUCCGUUUAUCAUUCAUAUACUUGAUUUUGCCUAUAGUUAUUUAGAUGAUGUCCAGGUCUGGUUUGAAUAUUUUUUUUCAAAACUAUGGUAUACAAUUUUGAUCUUGGUUGGUUUAAAAUACCUCAAGUAAAUUCGCGCUACUUUUCCUUGGAUACUUUCCUUGGAUACGGGCCGCAUAUAACAUGUCAUAGUCCAUAUUUGUUCUCAUUUUGUGUUUACUCCUUUGGGAUAAAAUGAAUCUGUCUUCUUUGCCUAUUAGAUUUUUCUGCAAACCUUAUACGAGCUUCUAGCUUGUUACUUCGAUAGAUUGUGAGUUGCAACAUUGUGAGAGUGUCCAUUCUUUCAGCUUCACUUUUUUAGCAUGCUUCUCUAAUUGUUAAAAUUAGUACACUGUUUCUUCAUUAAAUUCUCCUGUUAAGUUUGUUUGAUGCUUUAAGGUUCAUAAUCAGUAGUAAGUUUGGUUGCCUGAUGACCCUUCCAUUUUUAUUUUUUUUUAUUUUUUAAGCACACAUGCUAAGAUUUCUGCUCUUUGUUAAAGCCACUAUAGUGAAGUUAUUACUGUUAUCAUUAUCGUAUAUUUGUUUUCCAACUAGUGUUGAAAACUUUUUGCUUUGAAAAUGGUGCUAUUAUAUGCUAGAAACUCAUGGUUAGUUGAUAAUACUUGGUAUUAGAAGCUAAGUUUAUUUUCUUAAUUUUGUGUCUUACUAAGUAUGAUCUUAUUUUUAGGGACCUUGGAAUUAGCUUUGACCUCGAAAUUAAUUAGUUAAAAUUGUGUGUUGCUUCUGGUGAUAGUCAAAUAGUAGUAUUUAUCGUAUAUUUCUAUUUUAUAUUAAACAAUUCAGUUCUUACUUAUAUCUCCGUUAUAUUUGUUUUCAUGUGACACCCAUUUUGAGUCUCCGUGAACUCUGCAUCUUAUGCAUUUUUCUAUUUUUGCCUCGGAGGCCCCAUUACGCAUUCUUUGAGUCAAGCCUACUCUUUGAGAAUCGAAGAACAAAUCCCAUAAAUCGGCAAACAGGUCCCAAAAUUGAAAGUAUACGGACCAGAUCAAGAAGUUGAAGAAUUAGGCCUAACAGUUUUUUAGUGUUGCACUUUGUAUUUUUGGGUCUAAGACCUUAUCUUUUGUCAUUAGUGUUUUGUUAGAAUUAUAGACAAGUACUAAAGUGAAAUUGGCCAAAAACCAAAAAACAAUUGGGGUCCAAAUACCGGUCCAGACAAACAGAAACUGGAUUUGGAUCCAACUCUCUCUCUCUUGCUUUAGUCGCUCAUUUACUUUGUUGUUGAUUGUCGUUAGUAUUAGGGUUAAUAGAUGCAAAUUCCCACAAGAAGCUACUUUUUAACAAUUCAAAACUAAAUCAAUUAAGUAUAAUUGGAUUUAAAUAAUAAUACAUAAAUUUUACGACUUACCAAAGAUUUCACUUAGAUAGUAGGCUGAUAUUUCAUUUUAGCAAACUCUAAAUAAAAUUUAAUUCAAAUAAACUUAAAUUGUUAGUCAAACAAGUUAGUUGUCGGAUAAUCGCAAGUUAGUGAAUAUUUUAGUUAAAAACCUUCCUAAAAUAUAAAUAUGAGUUUCUGAACGCCCUUUUAAUUUUUUUAAGGCUUCUGUUUAAAUUGGUUGAAAACUUAGUUUUCUUAAUUUUUCUUAAAAAAUUAAGUGGCGUCUCUCAAAAAGUCAAAUACAUAUAAAAAUAUUUUUCCGAAAUAAAAUAGAAAUGGGGACUCUGAUGGAGGAUUUGAAGGAUUCUAACCUUAAAACUAAAUUUAUUUGACUAUGUGAAAUAACUGUCUAUUUUUUUCUUUGUCGUAUUAUAUCAAUUGUUGCAUUUUCAUGGCAUAUCAUACUUAGUCAAACGACAAUGGUUUAUUUAUCACUUAAAGGACGAUUAUGCGUGUUCGCAGUCGUUCAUUAACCAAAUUCUUUCUAGGGGCACCCUGAUGAAUGUAGUUGGCUACUUGAUAGUCAACGGUCAUAAACUGUCUCAGCCUAAGUGGUCCGCUUGGGUCACCCCUUACACUACACAUAAAAUCAACUCCUUGUCAAACUAAGAUAGAGCAAAACCGAAUCUCAAAAGUAGCGCAUUGACCUAAGAUGACCCAACACCCAAAGAGUGCUGGGCCCAUUAGAGAGACCGCCCUGAAUUCAAAGAGCCCACAACUCGAUCGGAUGACCAUACUUAUAUGCUAUUUGAAGAAUGCUUGUGUGUUUAAUGGAUUAUUGUGUUUUGGGGUGGGGUGGGGGUGGGGGGACAACUAACUAUUUGUAUGUAUUUGUGAUGUCAAAUCAAUUAUUAAGUUUCAAAAUGGUCACCGAGACGCUCGAUAUUCUUCGUGUGUGGUGGAACAACCUCAACGACUGUCAAAAGAGAGAAAUCUCGAUUCACUUGGGACACCUAUCUUUGAUAAUGGACUUCAAGGUUUGACCCACAUUUUCGAGGUAAUUAUACGGUUCUGGAAUGACAAAAUGAUGAUAUUCCAAUUUGGAGAUGUCGAAAUAACACCAACAAUAGAGGAGAUAAAAGAUUAUUUGGAUUCCAUCGGAACAUCUAGCAAGAGGAAAAAACAUCCAGAUCAUCACAUCCUGCUACCAGAUAGGCCGAAUAGUCUAGAACUGAAGGACAUGUUAGUAUUAGUAAACGCAAACUGGUUGGAUACUAAAAGUGUAUCGUUGAUGAGAUUCUUUGAAAGGUGGGAACAUGAUAGCUAUUUCAAAAAAAUUCCGAACGAGUUCUACAAUCAUAGUACUUGGAGACAGACUCAGACGAUCGCGUUCUCUGCAUGCCUCUUUGGACAAUGGUAUUCCUUCUGGAUGAACAUAAUGAGAUUGAUACUAGGAUUGUGAUAGUUGUAGAUGUCAUAUUUAGAGGGAUUAGUAAAGAAGAAGAAGCAAAGAAACACUACAGUUUGACCCUAAUUAUUUUGGCGGACAUCUAUCAAUCUACGAGUUUGAGUAAGAAUAGAUCUCCAUUUUUCCAAGGAUGAAACAUUUUGAUUCAGUGGUGGAUGAUGGAACAUUUGUGUAAAAAAGACGACACACAGCAACAGGAGUUGUCCAAGACAACCCAGAUGAUUCCGCUUGACAACUACGAGCUUUAUCUAAUCAUCCAAAUUUUCCCAAUUCACACCACGAGGGAUGCAUGGGCGAAGGUAUUCUAUGACUUGAGAUAAGGAGACAUAUACAUUGGAUGUUUCAAAACUUCAUGUUAGAAAAGAUAGCGGCUCGGGGGGCCAAACGUUCUUUUUUGUCCUUCUCAGGAUCAGAGGAAUGCGACCAUACAAUCCAAGGAGGAUCAUGCGGCAAUUUGGCAGAAGACAAAUCAUACCUGUCCAAAGGGAUACUGACGCCUUUGUCAUUGAUAACAAUGGGUGUGUUAAAA